rnacentral:rRNA from 1 species
CUGGCGGGUGCUUACCAUGCAGUCGAACGAUGAACCAGGAGCUUGCUCUUGGGAAUUAGUGGCGAACGGGUGAGUAACACGUGAGUAACCUGCCCUUGACUCUGGGAUAACCUCCGGAAACGGAAGCUAAUACCGGAUACGAACUGCGGAGGCAUCUCCAGCAGUUGGAAAGAACUUCGGUCAAGGAUGGACUCGCGGCCUAUCAGGUAGUUGGUGAGGUAACGGCUCACCAAGCCUACGACGGGUAGCCGGCCUGAGAGGGUGACCGGCCACACUGGGACUGAGACACGGCCCAGACUCCUACGGGAGGCAGCAGUGGGGAAUAUUGCACAAUGGGCGCAAGCCUGAUGCAGCAACGCCGCGUGAGGGACGACGGCCUUCGGGUUGUAAACCUCUUUUAGUAGGGAAGAAGCGAAAGUGACGGUACCUGCAGAAAAAGCACCGGCUAACUACGUGCCAGCAGCCGCGGUAAUACGUAGGGUGCGAGCGUUGUCCGGAAUUAUUGGGCGUAAAGAGCUCGUAGGCGGUCUGUCGCGUCUGCUGUGAAAACCCGAGGCUCAACCUCGGGCCUGCAGUGGGUACGGGCAGACUAGAGUGCGGUAGGGGAGAAUGGAAUUCCUGGUGUAGCGGUGGAAUGCGCAGAUAUCAGGAGGAACACCGAUGGCGAAGGCAGUUCUCUGGGCCGUAACUGACGCUGAGGAGCGAAAGCGUGGGGAGCGAACAGGAUUAGAUACCCUGGUAGUCCACGCCGUAACGUUGGGCGCUAGAUGUGGGGACCAUUCCACGAGUUUCCGUGUCGCAGCUAACGCAUUAAGCGCCCCGCCUGGGGAGUACGGCCGCAGGCUAAAACUCAAAGGAAUUGACGGGGCCCGCACAAGCGGCGGAGCAUGC